GCCAGACCUUCAACACUUGCUCACAGAAGAGGGUUCAUUAAGAGAAGUUCUUUUAGGGAGCCUGCCUUAUCUGCUGCCUAUUCCAAGAGAGAAGUUGAUAUCUAGCAUUAAGUCACCUUCCCUGUUAGUCAUAAUUGACAUAGAGAGUGACUCUGAUCCUAUCCCCACAGCAAUCAGUCCUGGACCUGUGGUCAAAAUGCCCCAGGUUAGAGGGCAGAGGAGCCCCUAAAGUAGUUUCAGGAAGAGUCUGCAGCAGACUGAGAGGAACAUUGUUUUGCCAGACAGAAUUUGGAACAGGCUUUUGUUGUGUUUUCUCUUAGAUGAUAACAGGAGAAAGUCUUGGCACUUGCUCUUCUGCUUACUCCAACUAGAGGCUGUGGCCAAGGUCAGGAUAAGUGUUUUCUUUUCCAUGGGCCUUUAACCCUGUGAAACAGCUUGGUGAAGGGCUACUACUGAAGUCCUGGAAUUCAGAGGCACGCGGAGGGCUGUAGUUCCAUUAAAGCCCAGGCAAGGACAAUUUUGUCCUUCAGCCAAAUGAGGCCAACAAACUUUUCUGCCUGCUGUCCUGAUGCCUUUGCUGAAACAUCAACACAUCAUCACCCCUGUGUGCUGGGCUGAACAGUCAAUAACAGGCACUCAGAGCUAUGAUUUUACCUCUUAGUGCUGCUUUCAUUGUGUCCCAUAAGUUAGGAUACAUUGUGCCUUCAUUUUCAUUAAAUUAUUAGACCUUGGCACUUAUUUCUCUACAGACAAAUCUAUCAGUAAAGCCUAUGUGAAAGAAGCCAGAAGAAUAUAGCCUACUGGAGCCAUAGGCCCAGUUCCUGUAUGGUGUUUGAAGCUGGACUCAGAAUGAGCACCAUAACUUGGUUUUAUCCUUCAACACUGAAUUGUAUUCAGCUUGGACUGAUCAAUUCUUCCAGGAUUUGUAAGACCAGAGUUAAGUACCUGUAAAGCUACAAAUGAUCAGAAGCAUCUAUAAUGGAUAGUCUCAAUGGGUAUGUAAGUCCUUGGAGAUUUUAAGGUAUUCUUGCAUGUCCAUGACAUAAAGGUAUCUGUGAUCUUUGGCAAAACUUUUGAGCAUGGGAGAAUGUGAUUCCAUGUAAAAUUGGGAAAAAAUUCUUCUGUUUCUGGUAUUGAUUGCAAAUAACUGUAGGUCAGGUCAACAACACAGUUCUGAGAAAAUAAUUGGAAGGCUUCAUGGCCAGGUUGGUGAAUGUAAUUAUGGUUUAUAGAUUAUUUACACUAAAAUUUCACUACACCGUUUUAUAAUUAAAAUUUGAAAAGGAAUAUGUAUGUUAUAAUAACCAAUAUUUAUGUAACAAGAUUUAAAGGCUUAAGACUUGCUUGCUGUGUUGUUCUUAUGUAAGUCUUUAACCCUUGUGUGCACUUUAUAGCCAAAUGAUGUUAGACCACCAGUAUCUACAACUGUGUAGAUUCUGACACCUGCCUCUGCUUAGCAUCAGGUUUUGGUUAUUGACAGGUGAAUUGUCACUCUCCAUUUCUAAGAUUCUGGCUUCUUUACAUUUCUUCAUCCAUACUUUCAACAUUGACUCUUUGUAUUAAUCGGGAUUCUUAGAGUCAAAGAACUUAUAGAUAGUCUCUGUAUGGUAAGGGAAUUUGUAAUGAUGACUUACAGUCUGUAGUCAAAUUCCCCAAAAAUGGUCAGCUGCGAAUGAGAAGUCCAAGGAUCUAGUAGUUUCUUAGUCCUACGAGGCUGGUUGUUUCAUCUGGUCUCCUGCAGAUUCCAACAGUUGUGUGGCAAGUAAAUGCAAGUAGAUGAAAAAGAUCUAAUCUUCCUUCUAUCAAUGUACUUAAGUAGAUAUUCAGCAGGUGUGGUCCAGAUUAAUGGUAUGUACCACCACAUCCUAGUUCUGGUCCUUGUUUUGCCCUAGGUUGACCUUGAACUCAAAGAUCUCCAUGCCUUAGUCUCUUGGAAUUAAAGGCAUGCACUAUCUUGAAUGGACCUAAGCUUUUCAUAGCCACUAUGCCUCAAUAUCUUCAUGCAUAUGUCAAGGUUAGAAACUUGUGUCUUCCAGCAUCAAGAUCUGGAUCACAGUUGAGCCCUCCAUUCUGGAUUGUAAUUCAUUCCAGAUAUAGUUAAGUUGACAACCAGGGUUAGCCAUUACUCUUACACAUGCACUCUCCCCUUCCUCCCUUUAUUGUUACCUUUUUGUAACACAUGUUUCUUAACUGACAAACAUUGCAAUUAGGGGUGCUUUCCCUGUGAAUAUGACAGACCUGAUGUUAAACUAUAAUGAAGCUUUACUUCAGCAUUACCUUCUCUGUCAGGCUGGCCAGCAAACAAGAGCUCUAGCAUCUCACUUCAUUCUUACUCAUACAACAUAGGGCACAUGUUAGACAGAUUCCCAUGGCUGUUACCAGAGUAAAACAAUGAAAGGAAAAAGAAUUUUAUUUUGUGAUUUCAGAGUUUUCUACCAUCACGGUGGAAGGAUGCAGUAGAACAUGGUUAUUAAAUUCAUGGCAUAUAGGAAACAGCAAAACUGAUUAAAAUUGAAAGGAAUCAACUCAAAGUACAUCACUCAAAGAAACAUUCCUAGUUUUAUACUUCCACCCCAAGUUAAUGUCUGUUAACAAUAUCAAGUGCUAAAAUACAUUAAUGUCUUAAACCAUGGGUAAUACAAUGACAUUACAUGCUAAUUUUGUCAGAAAAUAAGAAGUGUGCUUACAAAAUCUCUCACACAUCCUCAGUGCCAUCAAGUGACUAGGAUGAAACAUCACAGGUGAAGGAGCUCAUACAUCACCGUGUCCACUUCCACUGUGUUUGCACAUAUGUGAUUUUUUGUCCUUCUAGAAACCUCCACUAUUUAGUUUUGUUUUAGUUAAUUCCAUACUUUUUGAAACUGGGCUGUUUAGGAUAUUUCUUUUUAUAUAUUUCAUCCUCCUAAGGAAAUGUUCACAGCGCUGUUUGGAAGAAAUAUUGUUAGUGAUCCCAUUCUGAUGCUUUUUAAAGUUUUCUUUACAUUUAAGGUGGACAUUUACAAGCUUUAGAAUUAUGACUAGGUCACAAUGUGAAUAUGUACAUUUUAAAGCAUAAGUAUUUGUUUAAUAUAUUUACUGAAAAUAUUUUUCUGAGAUGUAUUGUUGUAAUAUUAUAAAAAAUAAAGCACUCUUUUUACCCGCUGUAGGUCCAGCACUGCAGUGCUCCAAGAUAUCUAGUAGAUAUCUUAGUCUCAGUCAGCAAAGAAUCUCACUUGCUCUGCUCCAUCCCAUAUCAAACUGCCGAAGGCGUCUCUCUUAGUCUGACAGCAAUGUCUCUAGCUAUCUAAUUCCCAAGGCAGGUUUCCAGGACAGAAGCACACAUCCCAACUCCUUGCACAUGCCAAACUAGCCACUGCACAUGCUCUUACACUAUAAUAUGCACAUGAAAGAACACACAACACAAUAACUUUUGAUCCAAUUGAUAAAAUAUAAUUGCCCACCUAAACAUACAAAGCCCUGUACACAUCCAUCCCUUAAGAACAUUAGAACAUUUAUAACAAUCUGUAAAUUACAGCGUGGAAUCUUAAUAUCAGUCUCCAGGUUCUCUUCAGCAG
ensembl:lncRNA